AACAACUUGAAGGUGAGUAACAAAAUUUUCAUUUUUGGGUGAACUAUCCCUUUAAGUAGGGGAGGGGGAGGAGCUAUAAAAAAGGGGCUUAUAAAAUCCAUACACUACAAAGUAGAGUACAUAGUGCAUAGUAUAAGUGCAUAAUGUAGCCUAUGUCAUUUGGGACACAACAGUUAUUCUCUCCACAUGCAACUGACUGUGGUCAACAUAUGUGUAUAACUGGUGUGAUAUUGCCCCCUGUCUGAUUUAGGACAGACACACUUGUUACACUAGACGUGAGCGUCUCCUCUCUGCAAAUGAAUGGAGGAGAAACAUAAACGCCCUAUUUUAAAACGCCUCUAGUAUAGCGUCGCACUGAAAAAUAUACAUAAGCUGCCCCCUGUCUGAUUUAGGACAGACACACUUUGUUUACUGUGAUGUUGGUGCAAACAUUCCUCAGAUGCCACAGCACUGCUUACUUUAAAGUUUUCAAAAUUAUGUCACACACGUCUACCACAUUGAUAUCCAGCUAGAGCAGUGAGAAAGGGCCAGAACCCAUAGGGCCUCAUCAAAUUUAUAAAUGGGGCCACACAUAUGAAACAAAUUGGGGAAAAAAAGCUUUAUGUAUAAUAUGUAAACGGACAUAUUUAAUAUUUCAGUGUCUUAUUUAAUUAAUUUUAAACUAUUUUUAUUCAAAACAUAAAGUUCUAACUUAAUCGUAUAAAAAAUAAUCAUAGUUAAUUAUUUUUAUCUAGUUUCUGUCAAUAAAAAAAGUUUAAAAACAAGCAGCUUUGUCAUCGUUACAUCAUAAGAGCCACAGGUACAUGGCGUCAAAAAGAUCGAAAACCACUGAAAUAGAGUCCGCCAUAUAAGCUAAUCAACAUGUCAAACAUUUAUUUCCGAGGUGCCUUACGGUGGCGUCAGAACAUAAGAGAUAUAAAACGCAGUUCACUUCGGCUAUGCACUGUCAAAAUCAGUCGACUUUUCAAACCUUCUAUAGGACAACAGUCAUUCUGCACUAAAGAAAGUGCUGAACUUUGAGCGUCAGGACCCGGAAGCGUGUUAUUUUAUUGUCACAUGGCUUGAAGAUUUCAAUAACAACAAAAAAUGGCGACAAUCACGUUGUUCGCUGUAAGGCGCUUGCUGCGUCAUUAAAAAUAUUCACGUAAACACGGGAGUUAAGCGUUGAAAAUGCAACCGCUAUAGGAAUGUUAGGCAGAUGUUUUGUCAUUAUUUGGCAGGCGUUUCCACUGUCCUGAGAUGGCAAACACGACGCGCUGAUGGAGUUGUUUACAAGAAGAGAUUCGCACGGAGGGCGGGGAAGCUGUGGGCGGAGUCUGUGGGAGGAACCACUUGCUUGCCAAAUACGAGAGCAAAGCAUAGAAGGUGGAGUCAGAGUUACCAUAACAAGUCUGGCGUCACAGGGGCGGUGUUUAUGAAUAAUUAAAGCUCCAAAUUAAGGUAUUGAAUCUCUUGGGAGCUGUCAUUUAAUGCAGGGUAUCCAAUGAAAAUGUGGCAUGAUAUUACAUUUUUGCUAGCUACACAGUAUAAGUUAUGUUAAAAAAUAAAAUGCUUCAUCUACUCAUUUCUAUAAUAUAUACAUUUUUAGGUUUAAUUAGCCUAUAUUAUAUUUUAUUUGUUAUAUUUUGAAUAGAGUAAACCUGUGGAAUUCACACUUUAUCUGUGAUAUUUAAAGUCAAAGUUGUUACCCCUGAAUGAACGUGGAAGAGAAGAUGCGUGAAGCGCUACCGCCCUGGAUCUGCUUGAUGUGACAGGCUGCCCUGGUUCAGUUAUCACAGUGCUGAUGCUGUCCAUCUUAAAGGUACAGUACUGUGAUAACUGAAGGAUGGCUGCCAUCUUGACAUCUAGCCUCAUAAAAAGUUUUUUUUUCCAAACAGGUGAGCAAGAUGUAAAAGACAAGAAAAUGAACAAAACAAUACAAUUUAAUAAAGAGAUAAGCUAUUCUGUUUUAAUAAAACUGUAAAACUGUAAAAA